rnacentral:rRNA from 1 species
GACGAACGCUGGCGGCGUGCUUAACACAUGCAAGUCGAACGGAAAGGCCUCUUUCGGGGGGUACUCGAGUGGCGAACGGGUGAGUAACACGUGAGUAACCUGCCCUUGACUUUGGGAUAACUUCAGGAAACUGGGGCUAAUACCGGAUAGGAGCUCCUGCUGCAUGGUGGGGGGUGGAGAGUUUCUGCGGUGGGGGAUGGACUCGCGGGUUAUCAGCUUGUUGGUGGGGUAGUGGCUUACCAAGGCUGUGACGGGUAGCCGGCCUGAGAGGGUGACCGGCCACAUUGGGGCUGAGAUACGGCCCAGACUCCUACGGGAGGCAGCAGUGGGGAAUAUUGCACAAUGGGUGGAAGCCUGAUGCAGCAACGCCGUGUGCAGGAUGACGGCCUUCGGGGUGUAAACCGCUUUCGCUCAUGACGAAGCUUUGUGUGACGGUAGUGGGUAAAGAAGCACCGGCUAACUACGUG